GUGCUUAUCUGUCUGGGACCAGACCCUGGGUCAGGUGUGGGAGGCCCUUGCAGAGCCCAGUUCCCCCCGGGAAACAGACAACCAGGGCUCUGGUAGAGAAUGAAGCCGACAGACAACCCAGUUUGGGUGGUGUUUUCAAGUGACAGGGGACAGAGGAUAAAACUAAAGACCUGAAGGAGGUAAGGGAGUGAGAUGUGCGGAUAUCAGGGAGAAGAGCAGUUUGGACAGCGGCAACAGCCAGUGCAAAGGUCCUGGGGUAGUACCCCGCCUGGUGUGAUGGAGGAGCAAAGAGGAGGCCCCUGUGGCUGGAGCAGAACUGGGCACAUGGGGAGAUUUGAGAUCGGAUACAGUGGAAGACUGGACAGACUGCGUGACAAGAGAAAGCCUGUGGGUGAGGACGCUCGGAGGGUUCUGGCCUAGCACCGGGGCGUGCCGGAGAAGGUGGAACUGGGGAACAGGAGGGGCAGGUGCAGCAGGCAAGGUCAGAGGCUGGGUGUCCACCGCGGGGCGGGGAGAGGUGGAAGAUGGAGGAGCUGGGGUCCCAGGGAGGGGCCUGGAGGUGCCCCCCGGAGGCAUCAGGGCCCCGGGAGUCCUCCUGGCCUCUGUCUUUACCUGGGCAGUAAAUAGACCUUGUGGGGAACGUGUGGGAAGACGGGGGGUGGGGUGCAAACGUGCAUGAGCCCCUGAGCUCCAGUGCUCGUGUGUGUGGAAGGCUCACUCCGACCCCACUUCUCCUGACUCGCUAGUGGAGUUUGAGCCCCCUUGCCUGCACCUGCCCCAGGCCCCCCUGGGACACCUCUGAAUCCUGCUGUCCCCCUAGGCUCUUUCCCCACUUCGGUUCUGUGUUGACCGGUGGCUGGGUUUGAGGUGUUGGCUUCACCUCUGGUCUGGGUGCUCCUGGAGGGAAGGUCGGUCUUGGUUUUAUUAGUCCCCCAGCCAGAGCCCCAGAACCAAGCACAGAGCCCCACACAUAUACAAGUGCUCCACUGACAUCUGGGGACAUGAUUCUGUGUACAGAGCCGGGACUGCGAAGAGGUGGGAGCAACAGAGGAUCCUGGGGCUAGAAGACGUGUGGCCACGCUGCGUGUGGGUCCGAACAGAGCUCUGAGUGUCACGUGUGUGCUCGCAUGUCUAAGCGUGCAUGCCACACGAAUCCCUGUGUGCCUGGAAGAUGUCUCUGUGUGCCAUCCCACAUGGGCGCACCUGUGCACACCUGCAUCUGUGUAGGUCUGCCCCAUGGACACGUGUGGGUGCCUGAGCACGCCUGUGUGUGUGCCCACAUGGGUGUAUUGGAGUACAUCUGAGUGUGUGAUCACGCGGGUGUUCAUGUGCACCCAAGCUUGUCCGUGUGUGUGUUUGCAUGAAUAUUAUUUGAAUGUAUUCUCGCCUGUGUGCCUACUAAUGUGCAAACGUGUACAAACAUGUGUGUGCAAGCCCAGAGGAGAGCUUGGCCCACAGAGACUCCGUUUCUCUUCCUUGCCUUGACCUCAGCCCCUCUGCCCUCCCCCUCAAGCCAAAUGAGCCUUCAAAGAACCAGCAUGGAGUGGAGGAAGUUCCUUCUGGCAGCUUCCAGGCCUCUGGGCCAUUCCCAGGGAGGAAUCCAGCGCUGAUUGGAGUGGGAACAGUCUUCUUGGAAGGGGCCCCCGGCUCCCAGGGAUGGGAGCUGGGACCACGCAUGCUGGGACAUUAGGGGCUGGAUCCACCUCCACGACUCCGCUGCCAAGUUCAGACACAGCUCCGGAUGAUAAACGUGAUCCAUGGGACAGCUGUCCUGUAUCGGGUGGCGCAUCUGGAAGUUUAUGACACCAAAUUCUCAGCGCACUCUGAGGGGCAGUAUCAAUCGGUCCCUGGUCCAGAGCUAGAGAGACCCAGAAGGGCGGGUGUAACCCAAGCCUGGGUGACUCUAAGCCUCUAGUUCUCAAAUGAGGGGGCAAUUUCCCCCCCAGGGGACGUCUGUCAGUGUCUGAAGAUAUUUUUGGUUGACGCACCAGCCAGGGGGAUGUGCUUCUGCAUUCUAGUGCGUGGAUGCCAGAGAUGCUACUAAACAUCCUAUAAAGCACAGGAUGCCCCCCCCACCCAUGGCAAAGAAGGAUACAACCCCAAAUGCCAGUUGAUAGUGCUGAGGCUCAGAAACAUUUUUUUUUUUUGGAAAAUAUUUUAUUUAUUCAUUCAUGAGAGAAACACAGAGAGAGAGAGGCAGAGACACAGGCAGAGGGAGAAGCAGGCUCUCUUCGGGGAUCCUGAUGCGGGACUUGAUCCGAGGACCCUGGGAUCACACCCUGAGCCGAAGGCAGAUGCUCAACCACUGAGCCACUCAAGUGCCCCUUAAUUUAUAAACUUUUGAUACCUAAAGUGUUGAGUUUUUCACACAUCUCCUGGCAUUGUGUUUUUUGUGUUUUCAUAUUGAUUUUUAAGAUUUCUUGUGGAAAAAAUAUCCUUUGGCAAAUGCAUUUCAAACAUUCUUUCCUAGCUUUUCUUUUCUCCUUUAACUUAAAUUUUUUUUUCAAAAGCUUUAUUUAUGUGGCUACGCCCCAUGUGGGGCUUGAACUCACAAUCCCGAGAUCAAGACCUAAGCUGAGAUUAAGAGUUGGAUG